GUAUGCCUACGGGGGGCAGCAGUGGGGAAUAUUGCACAAUGGGGGAAACCCUGAUGGAGCAACGCCGCGUGGGUGAAGAAGGUCUUCGGAUCGUAAAACCCUGUUGUUAGAGAAGAAAGUGCGUGAGAGUAACUGUUCACGUUUCGACGGUAUCUAACCAGAAAGCCACGGCUAACUACGUGCCAGCAGCCGCGGUAAUACGUAGGUGGCAAGCGUUAUCCGGAUUUAUUGGGCGUAAAGGGAGCGCAGGCGGUCUUUUAAGUCUGAUGUGAAAGCCUUCGGCUUAACCGGAGUAGUGCAUUGGA
rnacentral:rRNA from 1 species